GACAGAGGUGCCAAGCGUUAGGCGGAAUCACUGGGCGUAAAGGGUGCGUAGGCGGGUCUUUUAAGUCAGGGGUGAAAUCCUGGAGCUCAACUCCAGGACUGCCUUUGAUACUGAAGAUCUUGAGUUCGGGAGAGGUGAGUGGAACUGCGAGUGUAGAGGUGAAAUUCGUAGAUAUUCGCAAGAACACCAGUGGCGAAGGCGGCUCACUGGCCCGAUACUGACGCUGAGGCACGAAAGCGUGGGGAGCAAACAGG
rnacentral:rRNA from 1 species